AUUGAACGCUGGCGGCAGGCCUAACACAUGCAAGUCGAACGAGUGGCGGACGGGUGAGUAAUGUCUGGGAAACUGCCCGAUGGAGGGGGCUAACUUCUGGAAACGGUAGCUAAUACCGCAUCCCAUCGGAUGUGCCCAGAUGGGAUUAGCUUGUAGGUGGGGUAACGGCUCACCUAGGCUACGAUCCCUAGCUGGUCUGAGGGGAUGACCAGCCACACUGGAACAUAGACACGGUCCAGACUCCGACGGUAGGCAGCAGUGGAGAAUAUUGCACAAUGGGCGCAAGCCUGAUGCAGCCAUGCCGCGUGUAUGAAGAAGGCCUUCGGGUUGUAAAGUACUUUCAGCGAGGAGGCGUUACUCGCAGAAGAAGCACCGGCUAACUCCGUGCCAGCAGCCGCGGUAAUUC
rnacentral:rRNA from 1 species